rnacentral:lncRNA from 1 species
AUGUUCAGCAGUGGAACUCUCUGCCCCGGAGUGUGGUGGAGGCUCCUUCUUUGGAGGCUUUUAAGCAGAGGCUGGAUGGCCAUAUGUCGGGGGUGCUUUGAAUGCGAUUUCCUGCUUCUUGGCGGGGGGUGGGUGGGGUUGGACUGGAUGGCCCAUGAGGUCUUUUCCAACUCUACUAGUCUAUGCUUCUAUGAAGGAGUUGAGGCAAGGGAAGAGUGGUCAUUUGAUGUGAGGUUUGGGUAUCUGUUCUUCUUUUUAUGUUUCUUCUUUGGUUUUUUUCUUUUCUUAUUAUUGCAAUGUAUUUCUCAUUAAAACUCAAUAACCCUACCUCCCUCCCCAGUGUCAAGUACUGAAAAUGAACUAUCAUUUACUAGUGGGGAGGGGAGGGAGCAAAAUGAUAAAAAACCCAUCUUGUCUUGACUCAUAGGGGGAAGGAAAUGGGAAUACAAUCACAUAUAGAUGCCUUGUCUUGGAGCUACAUUGAUGGAACAACCACCUUACUUUGGCUCCUCCUCAAUGGUCAGCAACACCCUUAGCCGCUUUGAGUCUCCUCUCCUGCAGGAGAGAUAAAGUGGGGUAUAAUAAAUAAUAAAAAUAAUAAUGAUAAUAAUAAUCAUCCUUAUCUCAUUUGCAAAUUAUCAUGUACAGCGUAAGUCCCCCCUCCAUUAAAUACCUUUUAAAAAUAAUUAAAAUGCAGGAACAAUAGCCCCAAUGUCAUUUCCAUUUCUUCUGUUGCUUUUCAUUACACCCUUGUUACCAAUUAUAAUAAUAAUUAAUUAUAUUGUAUCUGACAUUACUUCCAGUCUCUGAGCUGGCUUUUCUUUAUAGAUCUUUUUUGUAACAUGAGGUAGGUGAUACAGUGGUGUGGGAUCUGGGGUUGAACCACUGGAUAAAGUCCUUCUCUGUCCAUGUCAGUGGGGCAGUGAAUCCACUCUGGGUUUUAAAGUCCUUGGAAUGUGGUUAGAUGGAAGCCACUAACCACAACUGUACCUGCCAGACAAAUAUUAGGAAGCACAAUUCCCUUGUUUUCUCAUUUGCCUGGCUAAAAACCACUAAACUAUUCCUGGAUGGCCACAUAAGGUUAACUGCCUAGUUCAUGUCCCCCCC